UACGAAGGGGGCUAGCGUUGUUCGGAAUUACUGGGCGUAAAGGGCGCGUAGGCGGUGUGUCAAGUCAGGCGUGAAAGCCCCGGGCUCAACCUGGGAACCGCGCUUGAGACUGGCACGCUCGAGUUCGGGAGAGGAUGGUGGAAUUCCCAGUGUAGAGGUGAAAUUCGUAGAUAUGGGGAGGAACACCGGUGGCGAAGGCGGGCCACCCUGGACGGUCACUGACGCUGAGACGCGAAAGCGUGGGUAGCAAACAGG
rnacentral:rRNA from 1 species